rnacentral:rRNA from 1 species
GAUGAACGCUGGCGGCGUGCCUAAUACAUGCAAGUCGAGCGAACGGACGAGAAGCUUGCUUCUCUGAUGUUAGCGGCGGACGGGUGAGUAACACGUGGAUAACCUACCUAUAAGACUGGGAUAACUUCGGGAAACCGGAGCUAAUACCGGAUAAUAUUUUGAACCGCAUGGUUCAAAAGUGAAAGACGGUCUUGCUGUCACUUAUAGAUGGAUCCGCGCUGCAUUAGCUAGUUGGUAAGGUAACGGCUUACCAAGGCAACGAUGCAUAGCCGACCUGGGAGGUGGACCGGCCACACUGGAACGGAGAAACGGUCCAGACUCUUCCGGGAGGCAGCAGUAGGGAAUCUUCCGCAAGGGGGGAAAGCCUGACGGAGCAACGCCGCGGGAGUGAUGAAGGUCUUCGGAUCGUAAACCUCUGUUAUUAGGGAAGAACAUAUGUGUAAGUAACUGUGCACAUCGUGACGGUACCUAAUCAGAAAGCCACGGCUAACUACGUG